ACUCCUACGGGAGGCAGCAGUGGGGAAUAUUGCACAAUGGGCGCAAGCCUGAUGCAGCCAUGCCGCGUGUGUGAAGAAGGCCUUCGGGUUGUAAAGCACUUUCAGUAGGGAGGAAGGUAGUGUAGUUAACACCUGCAUUAUUUGACGUUACCUACAGAAGAAGCACCGGCUAACUCCGUGCCAGCAGCCGCGGUAAUACGGAGGGUGCGAGCGUUAAUCGGAAUUACUGGGCGUAAAGCGCAUGCAGGCGGCCUGUUAAGUCAGAUGUGAAAGCCCGGGGCUUAACCUCGGAAUUGCAUUUGAAACUGGCAGGCUAGAGUCUUGUAGAGGGGGGUAGGAAUUUCAGGUGUAGCGGUGAAAUGCGUAGAGAUCUGAAGGAAUACCAGUGGCGAAGGCGGCCCCCUGGACAAAGACUGACGCUCAGAUGCGAAAGCUGGGGAGCAAACAGGAUUUGAUACCCUGGUAGCACA
rnacentral:rRNA from 1 species